rnacentral:rRNA from 1 species
GACGAACGCUGGCGGCGUGCUUAACACAUGCAAGUCGAACGGUAAGGCCCUUCGGGGUACACGAGUGGCGAACGGGUGAGUAACACGUGGGUGAGCUGCCCUGCACUUCGGGAUAAGCCUGGGAAACUGGGUCUAAUACCGGAUAGGACCACUGCCCGCAUGGGUGGGGGGGGAAAGCUUUUGCGGUGUGGGAUGGGCCCGCGGCCAAUCAGCUUGUUGGUGGGGUGAUGGCCUACCAAGGCGACGACGGGUAGCCGGCCUGAGAGGGUGACCGGCCACACUGGGACUGAGAUACGGCCCAGACUCCUACGGGAGGCAGCAGUGGGGAAUAUUGCACAAUGGGCGCAAGCCUGAUGCAGCGACGCCGCGUGAGGGAUGACGGCCUUCGGGUUGUAAACCUCUUUCAGCACCGACGAAGCGCAAGUGACGGUAGGUGCAGAAGAAGGACCGGCCAACUACGUGCCAGCCGCCGCCGUAA